GCAGACCAGGUAAUCGCGGCUGGACAGACGAAAGGGUUCAGACGAGGAAAGUCCGGGCUUCACAGGGCAGGAUGCCGGAUAACGUCCGGUGGAGGCAACUCCCAGACCAGUGCAACAGAAAUAAACCGCCGGUUUUCCGGUAAGGGUGGAAAGGCAGUGUAAGAGACUACCGCCGGCCUGGUAACAGGACGGGCACAUGUAAACUCCAUUUGAAGCAAGGCCGAGAAGAAAGCGAUACGGCUGCCCGUCGUGCUUUCAGGUGGGCCGCUUGAGCCAUUCGGUAACGGAUGGCCUAGAUAGAUGAUUACCCAAGACAUAACCCGGCUUAUAGGUUUACUU
rnacentral:RNase_P_RNA from 1 species